rnacentral:rRNA from 1 species
AGUGAACGCUGGCGGUAGGCCUAACACAUGCAAGUCGAACGGCAGCACAGUAAGAGCUUGCUCUUACGGGUGGCGAGUGGCGGACGGGUGAGGAAUACAUCGGAAUCUACUUUUUCGUGGGGGAUAACGUAGGGAAACUUACGCUAAUACCGCAUACGACCUACGGGUGAAAGCAGGGGAUCUUCGGACCUUGCGCGAUUGAAUGAGCCGAUGUCGGAUUAGCUAGUUGGCGGGGUAAAGGCCCACCAAGGCGACGAUCCGUAGCUGGUCUGAGAGGGUGAACGGAGACAUUGGGACUAAGAGAGGGAGCAGAAAGAUAUGGGAGGCAGCAGGGGGGAAGAUGACACAGAGAGCGGAAGACGGAUGCAGAAACGUUGCGAAAGAGAAGAAGGAUUUCGGGUUGUAAACCGCUUUAGGUUAAAAAGAAGCGAGAGUGACGGUAAUAGGUAAAGAAGCACCGGCUAACUACGUG